GGGGAAGGGAACUCGCGGCUGAUUUUUCAGGGGUGCUGCUACUGUCCGUUUCUUUUUUUUUUGUAUGUUCAAUUAUUUGAUUUGGGAAAUUGGGGAAAGGAGAGGAGGUUUUCCUUUUCUUGUGUUUUUUUUAUAGAAAAAAGGGUCUGCUUGAAGAUCAUGGGAAAUGGCAUUGAUGGUGAAGGUGUAAGAGAAAGGGGUCGCUUCUCAUUGAAGAACGACGGAUCUGUUUUCC
rnacentral:lncRNA from 1 species